GAUGAACGCUGGCGGCGUGCCUAAUACAUGCAAGUCGAGCGAAUGGAUUAAGAGCUUGCUCUUAUGAAGUUAGCGGCGGACGGGUGAGUAACACGUGGGUAACCUGCCCAUAAGACUGGGAUAACUCCGGGAAACCGGGGCUAAUACCGGAUAACAUUUUGAACCGCAUGGUUCGAAAUUGAAAGGCUGCUUCGGCUGUCACUGAUGGAUGGACCCGCGUCGCAUUAGCUAGUUGGUGAGGUAACGGCUCACCAAGGCAACGAUGCGUAGCCGACCUGAGAGGGUGAUCGGCCACACUGGGACUGAGACACGGCCCAGACUCCUACGGGAGGCAGCAGUAGGGAAUCUUCCGCAAUGGACGAAAGUCUGACGGAGCAACGCCGCGUGAGUGAUGAAGGCUUUCGGGUCGUAAAACUCUGUUGUUAGGGAAGAACAAGUGCUAGUUGAAUAAGCUGGCACCUUGACGGUACCUAACCAGAAAGCCCCGGCUAACUACGUGCCAGCAGCCGCGGUAA
rnacentral:rRNA from 1 species